rnacentral:rRNA from 1 species
CAGCCGCCGCGGUAAUACGUAGGGUGCGAGCGUUAAUCGGAAUUACUGGGCGUAAAGCGUGCGCAGGCGGUUGUGUAAGACAGGUGUGAAAUCCCCGGGCUUAACCUGGGAACUGCGCUUGUGACUGCACAGCUAGAGUAUGGCAGAGGGGGGUGGAAUUCCACGUGUAGCAGUGAAAUGCGUAGAGAUGUGGAGGAACACCGAUGGCGAAGGCAGCCCCCUGGGCCAAUACUGACGCUCAUGCACGAAAGCAUGGGGAGCAAACAGGAUUAGAUACCCGCGUAGUCCCUGUCUCUUAUAC